CUGGGAAGUUUACAUUUUAAUGACCACAAAUUGGUCUCUGCCCAUCACCACAUGUUUGCAAUGUAAAAGCUAUGGGUUAACCGUUAUCAUUUCUUUACCAGUAUUCUAUUGUAGCUCUGUUUUAUAUAUGUCACAUUUAAUGUCCAUUCUAAUUCUGCAGGUACAAACCAUAACACUAUCGUUCCUUUAGGUAAAUAGAGUUUGGUACUGCAAAUUGAAAGUAACAUUCCAUAAACGUGUCCACAACUGCAACUCACCAGUGUCCUUACGAAAUAACUGUCCAGUUAUCUUGGUUACAUAAUUUUAAAAGUGCAUGUUUAUAACAUAAUUGUUUUAAUGCAAAGUUUCCUGACUUAAAAAUAAAUAAAUACUACCCUUUCAAUGUUUGUAGCAAACUGGUAAUUGUUUUCACAAAGAUUUGUUUGCAUUAAUAAAUUAAAAACAAAAAACGCCUUUCAAAUGUUUAUAACAUAUAUCUCAUUGUUGUAAUUCCAUUCAUUUAGGUAAAUAAAUUAGCAAACAGGCCUUCUAAGGGCAAUAAUACCAAACUUUAUCAUCGGCAGAAGUAGAAUGGCCACUAAUAGUAUAGUAUAAAAUCAAGCUUCUCACGAAAAGUUUCUUAAUCCCUCUCAAGACCUGACCAUGUGGCUAAUAAGGGACUGCUCUUAGAUGCGUUUAGUAUCAGAGAAAUAAAAUACUCAGGCUGGACGAAAAUCAAACCUGCUGCCUUGCAUAAUUUGAGGUGAUCCACAAAAGCUAGAGCACCUUAUUCGAAAGUAAAGGCAGCUAACCAGAAAAUCUGUAAAGGGCACCCCAGCUGAUUGUGCACACAGCUAACAACUCCAAUAUCUAAAAAAAUAUUGAUACGAAAGUUUAAACAUAAAAAACAAAGGCUAGAGCACCUUAUUCGAAAGUAAAGGCAUCUAUCUAGACAACUUAAAGGGGCACCCAAGCUGAUUGUGCACACAG